rfam:Bacillus pumilus SAFR-032, complete genome.
AAAGUCCUGAUACGUACGGUGGUUACCUAGUUUUGACCGAACAUUUUUUUAUACGGGAGCUUGCCUUUCCUUUCUGCAUAAAUGCCUCUUUAGAGGACUUAUAAAGUCAGGAAGAAAGCACCCACCUGCAUGGUGCGGGGUUCAAAACGAAGGAAAAGCUGGCGGCGUUGUCGGGACUUUU